rnacentral:rRNA from 1 species
AUGAGACCACUCCAAGAAGUACAGGAUAUCAGACCAGUAAGACCAUUCGGAAUGAAGAGGAUUUUACCAUACAUUAUGAUAAUGGAAACUACAACGGUUGAAGACCGAAGACAAGUAGAAUUUGAAGGCUCUAAAGAAUUUCCAGAUUUGUGUGACCUAGGAAGGCAACCCUUAUGGAACUUGGCAGACUAUGGAAGUUGUCAAUGCCCGAGAUCAAGGUGUGUUGGAGAAAGACCGGAGCAUGUAGAGUUAAGAACUCAAGGAUUUGUCAAGGAAACCCCUAAGGCAGGAGAUAUCAACUAUGGAGAGAUAGCUCAUGGAAAUGACAAGAGAACAACCACAGCUAUCCAUGAGGUUAUCGCCCGCUUAUGCUAUUGUCACCGUGUUGAGUUAAGCAUGCAUAUGCAUGGAAGGAUUAAAUGGUAG